AUUUGAGGGAAGCCCUCAAAACCUGUACUGACCCCAGAUGCUCCUGUUUACCACACAUAACAGUGUGUGAGGAGGAACAUAUUGUCAUUCCAUAUGUAUCAGGAAGUCAGAAGAAUGUUCAACACUUCAAAGUAGACCUGACACAGACUGCACACCCACAACAACUAUCUACAAACCCCGUUUCCAUAUGAGUUGGGAAAUUGUGUUAGAUGUAAAUAUAAACGGAAUACAAUGAUUUGCAAAUCCUUUUCAACCCAUAUUCAAUUGAAUGCACUACAAAGACAAGAUAUUUGAUGUUCAAACUCAUAAACUUUAUUUUUUUUUGCAAAUAAUUAACUUAGAAUUUCAUGGCUGCAACACGUGCCAAAGUAGUUGGGAAAGGGCAUGUUCACCACUGUGUUACAUGGCCUUUCCUUUUAACAACACUCAGUAAACGUUUGGGAACUGAGGAGACACAUUGUUUAAGCUUCUCAGGUGGAAUUCUUUCCCAUUCUUGCUUGAUGUAUAGCUUAAGUUGUUCAACAGUCCGGGGGUCUCCACUGUGGUAUUUUAGGCUUCAUUAUGCGCCACACAUUUUGAAUGGGAGUCAGGUCUGGACUACAGGCAGGCCAGUCUAGUACCCGCACUCUUUUACUAUGAAGCCACGUUGAUGUAACACGUGGCUUGUCAUUGUCUUGCUGAAAUAAGCAGGGGCGUCCAUGGUAACGUUGCUUGGAUGGCAACAUAUGUUGCUCCAAAACCUGUAUGUACCUUUCAGCAUUAAUGGUGCCUUCACAGAUGUGUAAGUUACCCAUGUCUUGGGCACUAAUACACCCCCAUACCAUCACACAUUCUGGCUUUUCAACUUUGCGCCUAUAACAAUCCGGAUGGUGCUUUUCCUCUUUGGUCCGGAGUACACGACGUCCACAGUUUCCAAAAACAAUUUGAAAUGUGGACUCGUCAGACCACAGAACACUUUUCCACUUUGUAUCAGUCCAUCUUAGAUGAACUCAGGCCCAGCAAAGCCGACGGCGUUUCUGGGUGUUGUUGAUAAAUGGUUUCCGCCUUGCAUAGGAGAGUUUUAACUUGCACAUACAGAUGUAGCGGCCAACUGUAAUUACUGACAGUGGGUUUCCGAAGUGUUCCUGAGCCCAUGUGGUGAUAUCCUUUACACACUGAUGUCGCUUGUUGAUGCAGUACAGCCUGAGGGAUCAAAGGUCACGGGCUUAGCUGCUUACGUGCAGUGAUUUCUCCAGAUUCUCUGAACCCUUUGAUGAUAUUACGGACCGUAGAUGGUGAAAUCCCUAAAUUCCUUGCAAUAGCUGGUUGAGAAAGGUUUUUCUUAAACUGUUCAACAAUUUGCUCACGCAUUUGUUGACAAAGUGGUGACCCUCGCCCCAUCGUUGUUUGUGAAUGACUGAGCAUUUCAUGGAAUCUACUUUUAUACCCAAUCAUGGCACCCACCUGUUUCCAAUUUGCCUGUUCACCUGUGGGAUGUUCCAAAUAAGUGUUUGAUGAGCAUUCUUCAACUUUAUCAGUAUUUAUUGCCACCUUUCCCAACUUCUUUGUCACGUGUUGCUGGCAUCAAAUUCUAAAGUUAAUGAUUAUUUGCAAAAAAAAAAAGUUUAUCAGUUUGAACAUCAAAUAUGUUGUCUUUGUAGCAUAUUCGACUGAAUAUGGGUUGAAAAUUAUUUGCAAAUCAUUGUAUUCUGUUUAUAUUUACAUCUAACACAAUUUCCCAACUCAUGGAAACGGGGUUUGUACUAUCCAGUGUAGAUCUGACACAGACUACACACCUACAACAACUAUCUACUAACUAGGGUGAGCUAGCUAGGGUCGCUGAGUCAGCGUUAUUGGCGCCAAGGAAGAAAGUGCUGAGUCAGCAUUAGGAGUGACCUAAUAGUCAUCAACAGAACAGCUGAUGAGCACAACACUGCCCUCUAGUGGCGCUCAAUAAAAACACUACAUAAAAAGGUUGCCUACAGCCCCAGCUGUUAAUGCCCAUGUUUUGGUGUGAGCCACAUCCUGUACUUGGAGCAUUUACGAUGGUUGUCACUCGUCCUUUCAUAGUUCGACGUGUGAGUCAAUUAUGAUGUUUGAAGUGUGAAUCAGAUAUGUUGUUUGAAGUGUGAAUCAGAUAUGUUGUUUGAAGUGUGAAUCAGAUAUGUUGUUUGAAGUGUGAAUCAGAUAUGUUGUUUGAAGUGUGAGUCAGUUAUGUUGUUUGAAGUAUGAGUCAGUUUUGUUGUUUGAAGUGUGAGUCAGUUACGUUGUUUGAAGUGUGAGUCAGUUACGUUGUUUGAAGUGUGAGUCAGUUACGUUGUUUGAAGUGUGAGUCAGUUAUGUUUGAAGUGUGAGUCAGUUAUGUUUGAAGUGUGAGUCAGUUAUGUUUGAAUGUGAGUCAGAUAUGUUGUUUGAAUGUGAGUCAGUUAUGUUGUUUGAAGUGUGAGUCAGUUAUGUUUGAAUGUGAGUCAGUUAUUUAGUUUGAAGUAUGAGUCAGUUAUGUUGUUUGAAGUGAAGGUCAGUUUUGUUGUUUGAAGUGUGAGUCAGUUUUGUUGUUUGAAGUGUGAGUCAGUUAUGUUUGAAGUGUGAGUCAGUUACGUUGUUUGAUGUGUGAGUCAGUUACAUUGUUUGAAGUGUGAAUCAGUUAUGUUGUUUGAAGUGUGAGUCAGUUAUGUUGUUUGAAGUGUGAGUCAGUUAUGUUGUUUGAAGUAUGAGUCAGUUUUGUUGUUUGAAGUGUGAGUCAGUUACAUUGUUUGAAGUGUGAGUCAGUUACGUUGUUUGAAGUGUGAGUCAGUUUUGUUUUUUGAAGUGUGAGUCAGUUACGUUUUUUGAAGUGUGAGUCAGUUAUGUUGUUUGAAGUGUGAGUCAGUUAUGUUUGAAUGUGAGUCAGUUAUGUUGUUUGAAUGUGAGUCAGUUAUGUUGUUUGAAGUGUGGGUCAGUUAUGUUUGAAUGUGAGUCAGUUAUGUUGUUUGAAGUAUGAGUCAGUUAUGUUGUUUGAAGUGAAGGUCAGUUUUGUUGUUUGAAGUGUGAGUCAGUUACGUUUGAAGUGUGAGUCAGUUACGUUGUUUGACGUGUGAGUCAGUUACGUUGUUUGAAUGUGAGUCAGUUAUGUUGUUUGAAUGUGAGUCAGUUAUGUUGUUUGAAGUGUGAGUCAGUUAUAUUGUUUGAAUGUGAGUCAGUUAUGUUGUUUGAAUGUGAGUCAGUUAUGUUGUUUGAAUGUGAGUCAGUUAUGUUGUUUGAAGUGUGAGUCAGUUAUGUUUGAAUGUGAGUCAGUUAUGUUGUUUGAAUGUGAGUCAGUUAUGUUGUUUGAAGUGUGGGUCAGUUAUGUUUGAAUGUGAGUCAGUUAUGUUGUUUGAAGUAUGAGUCAGUUAUGUUGUUUGAAGUGAAGGUCAGUUUUGUUGUUUGAAGUGUGAGUCAGUUACGUUUGAAGUGUGAGUCAGUUACGUUGUUUGACGUGUGAGUCAGUUACGUUGUUUGAAUGUGAGUCAGUUAUGUUGUUUGAAUGUGAGUCAGUUAUGUUGUUUGAAGUGUGAGUCAGUUAUAUUGUUUGAAUGUGAGUCAGUUAUGUUGUUUGAAUGUGAGUCAGUUAUGUUGUUUGAAGUGAGUCAGUUACAUUGUUUGAAGUGUGAGUCAGUUAUAUUGUUUGAAUGUGAGUCAGUUAUGUUGUUUGAAUGUAAGUCAGUUAUGUUGUUUGAAGUGUGAGUCAGUUAUGUUUGAAGUGUGAGUCAGUUCCGUUGUUUGAAGUGUGAGUCAGUUAUGUUGUUUGAAGUGUGAGUCAGUUAUGUUGUUUGAAGCAUGAGUCAGUUACGUUGUUUGAAGUGUGAGUCAGUUGUGUUGUUUGAAGUGUGAGUCAAUUACAUUAUUUGAAGUGUGAGUGGGUUGUUUGGUGUGUGAGUGGGUUGUUUGAAGUGUGAGUCAGUUGUUUGACAUGUGAGUGGGUUGUUUGAAGUGUGAUUCUGUUUAAAUGUGAGUCAGUUGUUUAAAUGUGAGUCAGUUGUUUGAAGUGUGAGUGGGUUGUUUGAAGUGUGACUGGGUUGUUUGAAGUGUGAGUCAGUUGUUUGAAUGUGAGUCAAUUGUUUGAAGUGUGGGUGGGUUGUUUGAAGUGUGAGUGGGUCAGGCAGUGAGGUUGAGGGAGAGCCACCAUGUCUUCGGUGUAUUCAUGCUCUAAAAAGUAGUAUUUGGAAUAAUAAUCAUCCUGUGUGUGUUGAACAGGACAUAAAAACUGUUGAACAGGAAGUAAAAACAUCAAAGUGGGGGAAAAAGCAAAUUAUGCAAUUUCUAUAGACUUGGAUGUGUGUACAUAUGUACAGUGGAUGUCUUUCACCCCCUCACUUAUGAUUUAAAUGCCUCUCUUUAAAACAAUUAAAUUGUGGACUGUAGCUUUCUUUUUUUAUAUGGAGUCUUUUUUUAUUUAAUAUUAAACUAUUUACAGAAAA